UAAAAGGGGGAAUAUUUAAUAUUCCCCCUUUUAAAGAUCUUUAAAAGGGGGAAUAUUCCAAAGGGGGAAUAUUGGAAUAUUCCCCCUUUUAAAGAUAUUUAAAAGGGGGAAUAUCGCGA